AGGCAGGGAGCGAUAGAGCCAAAGAGAAAAAAGAAAAAAAAAAAUUCUCUCAAGCUAAAAACCAAACCUCCCACCAAAUUACCCCUUUCAAAUCAAAUCUCCUCCCAAAUUCAUUCUCCAAGCUAAACACCUUCCUUGGCAGUCAAAUCAAGCUUUGCCCAGGGUUGAGAAGUGAUCAUCUGGACAGACCGACACCGAGGUACCAGCUAGUUAGACAAGGAGGAUUAAUCAGAGUGUACACAAAGCUACAAACUCGAUGCGAAGCUGCAGCAGAACAUAUGUGCUGCGCAGGAGCUGAUAUAGGAUAGGGCUACAUAUUCCCAAAAAUUAGGUCACGAGUGUAUGAUUCUUUAUCACAGAACAUAUGUACUGGAGCAGAAGCUGCCCCUUGCAAGUGCUGUGUGUACGGAGCAGAUAUCGCACAGCGCUUACACGUCAAACAGUGCAUAGAUCUAUAACUCACCAUGCAGCGCACCAGAGCCCAAUUGAUACCCCGGAAGAAUGGAUGUUGCUUAACUUCAUUUGCCCCUUCCCGUGCACACAAUCUAUUUUUGGGAUCUCUAUGCAACAACUGGUACAUCAACUGUUUUGCAUGGAGACUUACCUGCACCACCGGAUAUACAAAUAAACAUAUGUAUGCAUACAUGCAUGCUUGUCUAGUAUUUAGUAGUACAAUCAACAAUAUCAAUUUUCUUUUACUCCAUGUUUUGGGUUACAAGAGAUUGAAGUGGUAAUUAUUAUCACUAGUAUUAUUAUCAAUGUUAUCCAGUUCCCAUUCCACAGUA